ncrna:Salmo salar (Atlantic salmon) microRNA ssa-mir-155 precursor (ssa-mir-155-1)
UUAAUGCUAAUCGUGAUAGGGGUUCUGUUGUUUAAAAAAAAGACACCUAGCAUGUAAGCAUUAGC